GGACUCCUCUUCAGACCCAGAGACAAAUGGAAUCAGAAAGACCAGGACAUUCCUAAACGGAGAAGACAGAAGAAAAUCUGAGGAGGAAGAUGACACACGCACAUCCAUGCUAUCAACAGCUGUUGCUGGUGCUGCUGCUGAGAAGAGGCAGCAGGAGAGGAGGAGGAAGAAGACUCUUCAGCCAUCUUCACAUCGAGUCCAAUAAAA